GGCGAGAUAGCUCAGUUGGUAGAGCGCAGGACUCAUAAGCCUAAGGUCAAGGGUUCGAUCCCCUUUCUCGCCACCA
rnacentral:tRNA from 4 species